ensembl:snRNA U2 U2 spliceosomal RNA
AUCGCUUCUCGGCCUUUUGGCUAAGAUCAAGUGUAUGAUCUCGAGGUAUGCUCCUUCUAUCCUUACUUUCUUGAGGCUUUUUAUCAAGAAAGGAUGGUGUAUUUUGUCAAAUGCUUUCUCUGCAUCUAUUGAGAGGAUCAUAUGGUUCUUA